UAGGCUACAUUUUUUAGGAGGUAGGAAACAAAUUACAAAACUCUACCCUUUGGUUAACCUCCUCCUCCUAUCCCUUACUUUGGGCUUUGACCUUGGAUUUCUACAUUUGUCAUUACCCAUUCUCUCAUUAAAGCUAUUAGUUCUACUACUACUCAUUUACCUAAAUUUAUACCUGGAGCUGCAAAGAAAAAUGGUUUUAAGAAUUUUGCUUUUAAGUCACUAAAUGAACCAUAUACUCAGGUAUCAACUGAGAAUGUUUUGCACACCUCUAGUCAACAAAA